ensembl:lncRNA
CCUAUAUCCUGACGGAGCUCGCAGCUUGGCCUAGUAAAUUCCAGGGCACUGUCUUCUUGCCGGAGCGCCCUCCCAUCCCUCUGUCUCCCACUCCUCCCUCCUUCCUUUGCCCUCGGUCUGGCUUAGGCCUCCGUCGUGGGGAGCCCAGAUGAAUCCAGAGGUUCCCUCUCCUGAGAAACUCUCAGUCUGGAGGCCAGCAAACAGGCAAACCGACACCUUUCACCUUUAAGCGGGUGUUCUGUCAAAGGAGCCACCUAUGAUGGUGUUGGAGAAGACUCUUGAGAGUCCCUUGGACUGCAAGGAGAUCCAACCAGUCCAUUCUGAAGGAGAUCAGCCCUGGGAUUUCUUUUGGAAGGAAUGAUGCUAAAGCUGAAACUCCAGUACUUUGGCCACCUCAUGCGAAGAGUUGACUCAUUGGAAAAGACUCUGAUGCUGGGAGGGAUUGGGAGCAGGAGGAGAAGGGGAUGACAGAGGAUGAGAUGGCUGGGUGGCAUCACUGACUCGAUGGAUGUGAAUCUGAGUGAACUCUGGGAGUUGGUGAUGGACAGGGAGGCCUGGCAUGCUGCGAUUCAUGGGGUCGCAAAGAGUCGGACACGACUGAGCGACUGAACUGAACUGAUGUGUUGCCACUGCGUGUGGCAUUGGGAAGAGAUUCGCAGCAUCGUGUCUUGCAAACAGGAGGAGCCGGCUCUAACACACCACCAGCUCUGUCCCGGGACAGGCCCACCGCUGUGUCCACGGGCAGGUAGGGCUGGGGUCCUGCUAGCGCACAGGGCUGGGGUGCCCUCCAGGGUUUCCUGUCCUCCUCUUGUGCCUGUUGGUGUGAAGGUAAUGGUGAUGAUGACCCUGACUGAUGUCGUACUUGUGAUGGUUGAGGCUUCAGUUGCUGCUACUGACCUCAGUCAAGGAAAUACCUCCAUCCCCCAAGGGGGACUGCCAGGAGGUGCCCAGGAGGAUGAGGGCCUCCCUAGGGCUGUAUCGUGGCUCUGUUGAGGACACUGGAAGCCUGACGUGGCCUUAUGGACACAUGUCCCGCCAUCUCCUACUUCCCCUGUGCAGUGAUGACCUAGUCUCAUAUCUCACUGAGGAAACAGGAGCCCAACAUGGUGGGAAGCCCUGCCCUCACCUCUACUGACCCUGUACCCCUUCCUGCACCCAGUCCAUCUUCUUCCCCAC